rnacentral:tRNA from 1 species
CGCGGGGUAGAGCAGUUGGUAGCUCGUCGGGCUCAUAACCCGGAGGUCGUCGGUUCGAAUCCGGCCCCCGCUA